UCUCUCUCUCUCUCUCUCUCCAGAGGUAUCAGUCUCUCUCUCUCUCUCUCUCUCUCCAGAGGUAUCAGUCUCUCUCUCUCUCUCUCUCCAGAGGUAUCAGUCUCUCUCUCUCUCUCUCUCUCUCUCUCUCCAGAGGUAUCAGUCUCUCUCUCUCUCUCUCUCCAGAGGUAUCAGUCUCUCUCUCUCUCUCUCUCUCUCUCUCUCUCCAGAGGUAUCAGUCUCUCUCUCUCUCUCUCCAGAGGUAUCAGUCUCUCUCUCUCUCUCUCUCUCUCUCUCUCUCUCUCUCUCCAGAGGUAUCAGUCUCUCUCUCUCUCUCUCCAGAGGUAUCAGUCUCUCUCUCUCUCUGUCGUCUCUCUCUCUCUCCAGAGGUAUCAGUCUCUCUCUCUCUCCAGAGGUAUCAGUCUCUCUCUCUCUCUCUCUCUCUCUCCAGAGGUAUCAGUCUCUCUCUCUCUCUCUCCAGAGGUAUCAGUCUCUCUCUCUCUCUCCAGAGGUAUCAGUCUCUCUCUCUCUCUCUCUCUCCAGAGGUAUCAGUCUCUCUCUCUCUCUCCAGAGGUAUCAGUCUCUCUCUCUCUCUCUCUCUCCAGAGGUAUCAGUCUCUCUCCAGUAGCAGUGUAUCUUCAGACUUACCCAGCAUCGUUGUCCGUCCUCUUCAGUCCUUUGGAGAUGUGAGUCAGACUGUGUCUGAACUGAGAGAGAAACUAGAAGACUUCCUUAAAGGAGAAUGGACCAAGAUCUCCACUACAGUGAAUAUAGUGGAUGUUGUACUGCCUCCAGAGCCCAAGACCAGAGAACAGUUGUUACAAUAUUCCUGUCAGCUCACACUGGACCCAAACACAGCAGGCACACUCCUCUCUCUGUCUAAAGGGAACAGAAAGGUGACCAGUACAGGCCAAGUCCAACCAUAUCCUGACCAUCCAGACAGAUUCACCAACUGGUGGCAGGUUCUGUGUAGAGAGGGUCUGUCUGGACGCUGUUACUGGGAGGUGGAGAGGACUGGUGGUGUUGAUACAGCAGUCUCAUAUAAAGACAUCAGCAGAACAGAGAGAGAUCGUAGAUUUGGAUACAAUAACAAGUCCUGGAGUUUAUAUUACUAUAGAGGUGGUUAUUGUUUCAGACACAAUAAUGUUGAGACUAAAGUAUCAGGCCCUCAGUCCUCCAGAGUAGGAGUGUACCUGGAUCACAAGGCAGGUACUCUGUCCUUCUACAGUGUCUCUGACACAAUGACCCUCCUCCACAGAGUCCAGACCACAUUCACUCAGCCCCUCUAUCCUGGGUUUUAUCUCACUGGUUCUGCUGAGCUGGUUAAACUGUAAACUGAUUUGUUACUAAUUUAAAAUUCAAUACAAUGUUUUAAUCCUGUACAUUUCCAUGAAUCAUGAUGUCUGGUGUUGAUGUAUAUUGGUUGUCAUUCAGAACCAUUGAUAUGUUUUCUCAGUUGGUUCUCUGUCUCUAUGUAAUUCUCCUCAGUAUCAUUGAUCAGCUUGUUGGCUCGGUCCUAAUUGAUGUGUUCUCUGUCACCUGGAGCUGCAUGGAAAAUGGUCCAGGAACUAAAGGACAAUUCAGGACUAGUCAGCCCACUACAAGCUGGUAUCACUUCCUUUCUACUAAACUAUAUGGUCUGGUUUCCCAGACACAGAUGAAUCCUAGUCCUGGACUAAACAGUAUGUUCAAUGUAGAUGUCCAGGAAACCGGCCCUAAAUGUGUCAUCUUUCAUCCUCCCAUACUGCUCAGUCCAGCAACAUUAAACCUGUCCAGCAGGUGGUGCUGUUGACCAAACAAUAAAACCAGCAGAUAUCUUGACUUGCCACUCAGUAUAUCAGUAAUGUUCAGAAUAGUACUUUAAUAUCAUUGGAGAUUGAUGGUCUUUUUAAUCCACUAUCCAGAGUCAGG